ACGGGUGCGUAACGCGUGGGAAUCUGCCCUUGGGUUCGGAAUAACAGUUAGAAAUGACUGCUAAUACCGGAUGAUGUCUUCGGACCAAAGAUUUAUCGCCCAAGGAUGAGCCCGCGUAAGAUUAGCUAGUUGGUGGGGUAAUGGCCCACCAAGGCGACGAUCUUUAGCUGGUCUGAGAGGAUGAUCAGCCACACUGGGACUGAGACACGGCCCAGACUCCUACGGGAGGCAGCAGUGGGGAAUAUUGGACAAUGGGCGAAAGCCUGAUCCAGCAAUGCCGCGUGAGUGAUGAAGGCCUUAGGGUUGUAAAGCUCUUUUACCAGGGAUGAUAAUGACAGUACCUGGAGAAUAAGCUCCGGCUAACUCCGUGCCAGCAGCCGCGGUAAUACGGAGAGAGCUAGCGUUGUUCGGAAUUACUGGGCGUAAAGCGUACGUAGGCGGUUACUCAAGUCAGAGGUGAAAGCCCGGGGCUCAACCCCGGAACUGCCUUUGAAACUAGGUAGCUAGAGUCUUGGAGAGGUUAGUGGAAUUCCGAGUGUAGAGGUGAAAUUCGUAGA
rnacentral:rRNA from 1 species